AGGUACUGAGAGAGGACGAAGGCUUCACGAGCGUGUUUGAAACCAAGACUUGAUAGGAAUUUUACUUUAACGGAAGAUAGCGGUGAGGGCUUGAACACUAAGGAAUUAAUGAGAGAUCAGCCCCUUUAGCGACUCAAAGCAUAUUAUAACUCCAGCUGGUCAAAAAGAGAGGAAAUAAAUAAUAUAACAGGAACAACUGGAAGAGCAAGUGCAGCAUCAGGUUGGUGCAUUUCUUCUGAUCAAAAGGUCGAAUUGCAACUGGUCUUUGAAGAGUGUGCUGGUGACAGUGUGCAACCUUUGCAGUAGCUCCUGGACUGGCCCUAGACUGCUGUCAAAUUAAACCAGCACUGUAAAGAAGAGAGCAAGUUGAAUGAAGUUGAAUGAAGGGGCAUCUUAAUUCCAAUCCUGGCUCUAAUGCUGACUGUAAGCAUGACCCCGGAUGAGUUAUUCACUCUCUCAGUCUCAGUCUCCUCAUCCACAAAGCAGGGAUCACAAUAAAUGAAUAGCACCUUUCACAGAA